GUUUUCCUAUGUUGUCCUGUAUUUAUUGUUACUUGGGUGGAUUUUGCACUUUUGAUCCAGUUCAAGAGUUGAUCCACUCCACAGAGGAAGUUACUUACAAUGUUAUGGGUUUAAAUUCUUUUUUCUGUUUAAUAAAACAGAAAUGAAACAGUUUGUUUUCAGCCCAUACAACAAAAUAAUGGUUAUAUUUAAAUAAAAAUAAUCUGCACAAUUACAGCAAACGUUUUAGGCAGGUGUGGGGAAAAAAUUCUGUAAAGCAAGAAUGCUUUCAAAAAUACACGUUAAUAGAUUAUAUUUACCAAAAUAUAAAGUGAGUGAGUUUGGAUAUUCCUCCUACAAAGCCUGUUUCUGUUUCAGGAAAUUAUUCCACUUUGUUGUUGUAUUUCCUCCCAAAGAUACUGUGCUAUGCAGCAGCAUUUCCUCAAACAAAUCUAUCACCUGAUAUGCGUUUAAGACUUCUACACAGUAAUCAAGGGUUUAACAUACUCUGAUAUAUGUAAUUUUAACAGUAGCUUGCUAUCCCAGUGAUUUUCAAAGUGGGGUCAGGGGACCCCCAAGGGUCCUUGAGAGGGUUCCAGGGAGUCCCCAGCAAAAAGGGGAAUGAUUUAUUUUGACUAUAAUUCCAUCCACGAGUAACACAGUGACAGAAUAUGACUAUUUUGGUAGUCAUAUAUAUUCUGUAAUAAAACAUCUAAAACCCAAAAUCCUAUCAGAUGGGUGAUAAUGGGACAAAAUCUUAUCAAAUGGGGGUCCGUGGUCUAAUUUAGGGGUCGUUGACGUGAAAAAGUUUGAGAACCACUGACCUAGCCUAUACUAACGAGAAGGUUAUUUAGCUUCCUAUGAAAAAGAAAGUGUUGAAUGGUAUGUAUAAACUGGGAAGUUUUUAUUAAAAUAUAAAUUGUUGACCAUAUUACAUAUAUGUUAUUGUUGUUGCUUUUUGCAUUCGUGAACAUAUACAGAUAGGGGACAAAUUAAAGGAAAAACCAGAAUAAAAGAGUGGAGAAACAUAUCAAAUGCAGAUGCUUCCGUGCACCAGGGCUCAUUGAAUGGUUUGAAUUCCACAGACUUGGCACGGAGAGCUGAAGCUUUUCUGGAGGCUCGUGAUGGCCUGACUCCAUACUAAGACACUUCAUGUUGGUUUUCCUUUAAUCUGUCACCCAUCUGUAUGUCAUGGUGAAAAUCUUGCUACGGUUGUCUCAACAGUAUUACUAAUUGUGCUUCUUUUGGGUUCCUUGUUAUUACGGACACAGAGCACAAUUUAUGAGCCAGACACGCUGUGACUGACACAGGAUAAUUUUUAUAAUGCUAGCAAUAUUUUGCGGGAAUAAGUUGAUAGUUUGAGGUUUACAAUUCUGUAUUAUAGUAUAUUUCUGCAUGAUUCUGUAUUACAUAUGUCUCUUUAGCUCUCUUUAGCGGCUUAACAUCCAAGAAAAAGAUGGAUGGAUAUAGCCUUGGACGAAUGCAUAAAGGGAACAUUUCAGACCUUUUUCAAUUGCUGCUACAACAAUAACAACAACAAAAACAACUCUCCCUGAGACCAGAGGCUCCUCAAUCAAUCCCAGACUGCUCUUUUUAUAGCCUCAACACUCUUUAUUGAUUGGUCUGGCCUGAUUUGUGCUCUCUGGUUGCUCCAAGUUGUAACUUGGGUAAUAAAGUCACUCCUACAAGGCCAAGUGUGGUCACUGCUUUCCAAAUAACAGAUACUGAUACACUGCUAAUGAUUUAAGGGAGAGCCUGUGGUCGGUUCUUGUCAUAAUAGAAAAAUAACACAUUUA